AUGAAGAAUGUGGGUCUUCUCAUAGCUAGAGAAAGGGGGUCUUUUCUCAGAGCCAGAGAAAGGGGGUCUUUUCAGCGCUGGAGAAAGGAGAAUGUAGGUCUUCUAAUAGCUGGAGAAAACAGGUCCUUUCAGAGCUGUAGAAAGGAGAAUGUAGGUCUUCUAAUAGCUGGAGAAAACAGGUCCUCUCAGCGCUGGAAAAAGGAGAAAGCAGGCGGGCAGCAGUCCCGAUACUGGGAAACGCCAGGAAUAUAUGCUAGUUACAAUAUAAAUUGCGAAUGGCUCCACGUGGAUCCUCAGAAAUGAACUUCCACAACAAUACUGCGAAAUAGGUACCAGUCUUCGCUUGUGGGUCUGCAAGAAGCACAAUUCAGGUUUGAAACAUUUUCUUGGAUGGAGGCAGCAACCAUCUCUGUGACUUUGCUAAACAAGCGUGGAGCAUGUGGGGCUGAAGGGUGACCAGGUUUCCAAACCAAGUGGAGAACACGGUCAGGUGACUUGACCUGGGAGACUUGGCUGAAACCUUUAGUCCAGAACUCUGGGAGAUAGGGAGCGUGCAACUACACUAUCGAAUUAACGCUAUGGCUCAACGCCAUGGAAUCCUGGGAUCUGUAGUUUGGUGAGGCAGAGAAAGCUAAAGACCUUGGAAAACCGUACCUCCCAUGGUUCCAUAGUAUUGAGCCAUGGCUGUUCAAGUUGUGUUGAGCUGCAUUAAUUCAACAGUGUUUUCCCUCCGAGAUGUUCCAGACAUAGUGCUGCAUCUCUGCCUCCUAUAUGGGACUAGUCUUUUGUCAUUUCCUCUUUAAGGUAAGGGGAAAAUAAGAGAUAAAUGCACAUUAUCAUGACUGUCAGGAAUACAGAUUGUCAAGGUGUUUGCUGCAAAGUCCAUAUAGCUGAGCCGCAGAAUAGGUUUGUAUGCUCUCCAUAAAAAGCAGAGACUCUCUUGAAAUUGCUCUCGACUCUCAAAGAAAAGCAAAAUCCACUGGCAUGUAUCUGUUUCGGUCGUCUGCAAGCAAUGAUCUAUGCGAACAAGGCUCCAAGCUAGGCCAAAUGGGUCCAAAAGGGUCUAUGAGGAGUCACAUUGAAACAGACCCGGGAAACAAAAGGUCACGGAGUCUCUUCUCCAUUUCCAUCUCUAAAAAUACACAACAAAACUCAGCGGCAUUUCACAGUCCAUGAAGGAAAGCUCGACCCACCACAAUCCAUGGUCUGGA
rnacentral:lncRNA from 1 species